CCUCAGCCUAACUAGCCAGGGAGUGCCUGUGCUCAAGUCCUGUGGAAUCUGUAGGGUGAGCAGCCGACACUCCAUGCCUCGAAUGCUGAUAAUGUGUGUCUUUGAGAAGAUGAGAAGAUCGCAGACCUGUGUUCUAAACUGGCAUGGUUCUAAAGAAAAGGAUUAAUUGUUUGCAAGGGAAUCCAUCUGCCAUGUAAUGAGGACACUCAAGCAGCCCUAAGAAGAG